AUGGAUGUUCAACUCUCUCAACGUCCGGACCAGUUGUGUUGGAAACUUACUAGGAAUGGAGAAUUUACGGUUAAAUCCAUGUGCUUGGAUGUAAUUAAUUCUAGUACUAUUCCUACGUCGAAACAUGUUUGGCAUGUCAAAGUUCCCUUGAAAGUUAAAGUGUUCAUGUGGUUUGUGCAUAAACAAGUCAUUUUAACUAGGGAUAACUUGAUUAAACGCAACUGGACUGGAUCCUCUUGCUGUAGCUUUUGUGACAGGGAUGAAACAAUUAAGCACCUAUUUCUAGAUUGUCCUAUGACAAAGAUUCUAUGGCAAUCAGUGAACACAGCCUUUAAUAUAACUCCUCCACAUAAUAUUAACACGGUUUUU
rnacentral:rRNA from 1 species